rnacentral:rRNA from 1 species
GACGGACGCUGGCGGCGUGCUUAACACAUGCAAGUCGAACGGAAAGGCCCUGCUUUUGUGGGGUGCUCGAGUGGCGAACGGGUGAGUAACACGUGAGUAACCUGCCCUUGACUUUGGGAUAACUUCAGGAAACUGGGGCUAAUACCGGAUAGGAGCUCCUGCUGCAUGGUGGGGGUUGGAAAGUUUCGGCGGUUGUGGAUGGACUCGCGGCUUAUCAGCUUGUUGGUGGGGUAGUGGCUUACCAAGGCUUUGACGGGUAGCCGGCCUGAGAGGGUGACCGGCGACAUUGGGACUGAGAUACGGACCAGACUCCUACGGGCGGCAGCAGUGGAGAAUAUUGCAGAAUGGGCGGAAGCCUGAUGCAGCAACGCCGCGUGCGGGAUGCCGGCCUUCGGGUUGUAAACCGAUUUCGCCUGUGACGAAGCGUGAGUGACGGUAAUGGGUAAAGAAGCACCGGCUAACUACGUG